rnacentral:rRNA from 1 species
GAUGAACGCUGGCGGCGUGCCUAAUACAUGCAAGUCGUGCGGCAGCGGGCCCUUCGGGGUGCCGGCGAGCGGCGGACGGCUGAGUAACGCGUAGGAACGUGCCCCAAAGUGAGGGAUAACCUCGAGAAAUCGAGGCUAAUACCGCAUGUUAUCUUCGGAUUAACGCUUUAUGUGCUUUGGGAGCGGCCUGCGUCCGAUUAGCUUGUUGGUGAGGUAAUGGCUCACCAAGGCGACGAUCGGUAGCUGGUCUGAGAGGAUGAUCAGCCAGACUGGAACUGAGACACGGCCCAGACUCCUACGGGAGGCAGCAGUGGGGAAUUUUGGACAAUGGGCGCAAGCCUGAUCCAGCAAUGCCGCGUGUGCGAAGAAGGCCUUCGGGUUGUAAAGCACUUUUGUCAGGAAAGAAAACCAUUGGGUUAAUACCCUAGUGGGAUGACGGUACCUGAAGAAUAAGCACCGGCUAACUACGUGCCAGCAGCCGCGGUAA